GACGAACGCUGGCGGCGUGCUUAACACAUGCAAGUCGAACGGAAAGGCCCUGCUUUUGUUGGGUGCUCGAGUGGCGAACGUGUGAGUAACACGUGAGUAACCUGCCCUUGACUUUGGGAUAACUUCAGGAAACUGGUGCUAAUACCGGAUAGGUGCUCCUGCUGCAUGGUGGGGGUUGGAAAUUUUCGGCGGUUGGGGAUGGACUCGCGGCUUAUCAGCUUGUUGGUGGGGUAGUGGCUUACCAAGGCUUUGACGGGUAGCCGGCCUGAGAGGGUGACCGGCGACAUUGGGACUGAGAUACGGCGCAGACUGCUACGGGAGGCAGCAGUGGGGAAUAUUGCACAAUGGGCGGAAGCCUGAUGCAGAAACGCCGCGUGCGGGAUGACGGCCUGCGGGUUGUAAACCGCUUUCGCCUGUGACGAAGCGUGAGUGACGGUAAUGGGUAAAGAAGCACCGGCUAACUACGUG
rnacentral:rRNA from 1 species